CCUACGGGAGGCAGCAGUGGGGAAUUUUGGACAAUGGGCGCAAGCCUGAUCCAGCAAUGCCGCGUGCAGGAUGAAGGCCUUCGGGUUGUAAACUGCUUUUGUACGGAACGAAAGGCUCUGGCUAAUACCUGGGGCUGAUUACGGUACCGUAAGAAUAAGCACCGGCUAACUACGUGCCAGCAGCCGCGGUAAUACGUAGGGUGUGAGCGUUAAUCGGAAUUACUGGGCGUAAAGCGUGCGCAGGCGGUUUUGUAAGACAGGUGUAAAAUCCCCGGGCUUAACCGGGGAACUGCACUUGUGACUGCAAGGCUGGAGUACGGCAGAGGGGGAUGGAAUUCCGCGUGUAGCAGUAAAAUGCGUAGAUAUGCGGAGGACCACCGAUGGCGAAGGCAGUCCCCGGGGCCUGUACUGACGCUCAUGCACGAAAGCGGGGGAAGCAAACGGGAUUAGAUCCCCCUGUAGU
rnacentral:rRNA from 1 species